rnacentral:rRNA from 1 species
GACGAACGCUGGCGGCGUGCUUAACACAUGCAAGUCGAACGGAAAGGCCCUGCUUUUGUGGGGUGCUCGAGUGGCGAACGGGUGAGUAACACGUGAGUAACCUGCCCUUGACUUUGGGAUAACUUCAGGAAACUGGGGCUCAUACCGGAUAGGAGCUCCUGCUGCAUGGUGGGGGUUGGAAAGUUUCGGCGGUUGGGGAUGGACUCGCGGCUUAUCAGCUUGUUGGUGGGGUAGUGGCUUACCAAGGCUUUGACGGGUAGCCGGCCUGAGAGGGUGACCGGCCACAUUGGGACUGAGAUACGGCCCAGACUCCUACGGGAGGCAGCAGUGGGGAAUAUUGCACAAUGGGCGGAAGCCUGAUGCAGCAACGCCGCGUGCGGGAUGACGGCCUUCGGGUUGUAAACCGCUUUCGCCUGUGACGAAGCGUGAGUGACGGUAAUGGGUAAAGAAGCACCGGCUAACUACGUG